rnacentral:lncRNA from 1 species
AUAGAUCUAGGCUGGUAUACUAUCGGUAGCACGGAGACCUCUGUGCUACCAAGUUGUUUUUAAUGAUACGACUUCCAAAUCGACGAUCAGCUCCGUCAAAUUUGAUCUACAUUAUUAAAAGUAUUUGAAAACUAAAUUUCAUAAUUUUCAAUAUCAUUUAGCUAUAGAUCAAAAGGUCUCAAAAUUGACAAGUUUAAUGACUAAUGUUAUACUUUUAUGAAUUUAACUUUGUAAAACAAUUCAAAUUUGAUGAAAUUUUUAUAAUUUUUUUUUUUCACUACUUAGAGUAAAAUCAGCACCUCUGAUCUUAAAUUCAAGUUUUUUAUCAUCGUUUUUAUAAUUUUUUUAUUUUCAACUGUUUAUUUUUAGACUAUUCAUUUAAUAGGUAAAAUGAUGUCGAAAAGUUAUAAAAUUUAGUUUCAAAUAUUUUUAAUAGCUAGUGUAGAUCAAGUCUAACGGAGCUGGUCGUCAAUUUGGAAGUCGCAUCAUCAAAAAUAACUUUCUAACACGAAGGCUUUCACGCUAUCUAUAGUAUACCAGCCGGACUCUCUCUCCCUCUCUCUCUCUCUCUCUCUCUCUCUCUCUCUAUAUAUAUAUAUAUAUAUAUAUAUAUAUAUAGAAUCCGGCUGUGAUAUCAUCGAUAGCACCAAGCACUUUGUGCUAUCAAGUUUUUCGCCGUUAGAUUUAACUCUUUGACUAUUUUUAUCUGUUAGAUUAUACUAUUCAACCAACAACUCCCUCAUUCUUAGAGUCCCGCAUCAUCUUAACGGUACAUCUCUUCAUCCAAGGGCCAAAAACCUAAUAGCACCAACAACUUGGUGCUAUUGAUAGNAUCAUCGAUAGCACCAAGCACUUUGUGCUAUCAAGUUUUUCGCCGUUAGAUUUAACUCUUUGACUAUUUUUAUCUGUUAGAUUAUACUAUUCAACCAACAACUCCCUCAUUCUUAGAGUCCCGCAUCAUCUUAACGGUACAUCUCUUCAUCCAAGGGCCAAAAACCUAAUAGCACCAACAACUUGGUGCUAUUGAUAGUAUUCUAGCCUAGUUAUAUAUAUAUAUAUAUAUAUAUAUAUGUUGUAGAAUUAGGCUAAAAUACUAUUAAUAGCACCAAAUCUUAAUGCUAUUAGUUUUUUGGUAUUUGAAUAAAGGGAUGUGCGGUUAGGAUGAUAGUGAUCCUCUAAGAUUUAGUAGAUGGUUGGUGGAAUAGUAUGAUUUAAGAGGUGAAAAUGGUUAAAGGGGUAGACUUAACGAUGAAAAACUUAAUAGCACAAAAUGCUUUGUGCUGUUGAUAGUAUUAUAGUCGAACUAUAUAUAUAUAGCUCUAUAGAGUGCGUCUACUAUAUUUUCGAAAGUACCGGGACCUCCGUGCUUGUAAGUUGUUUUCGAUGAUAGGACAUCCAAUUCGACGAUCGGCUCCGUUAGAUAUAAUCUACCCUAUUGGAACUAUCUAGAAAUCAAAUUUUAUAAUUUUUUGACAUCAUUUACUAAGCGAUCAAAAUGUCCCAAAAAUGACUAUUUUAAUGGUCGAUGCGGCAUGUUUUUAAGUUCAACAGUGUAGAAGUGUCCAAAUUACAUAAAAAUUUAAUAAAAAAUUCUACUUAAUGUCAAUAGCAAGAUCAAUACUUCCGAUUUGAAAUUUGAGUUCUUUAUCAUUAUUUUUUAUGAGAUUUUUAUUUUCAGCCGUUCAUUUUGAGGCUACUCGUUCACUAGGCAAACGAAGUCAAAAAAUUAUGAAAUUUGGUUUCUAGAUAGUUCCAAUAGCGUAGAUCAUGUCUAAUGAA